UGCUUGCUUAGGCAGCACAUAUAAAAAAUUGGAACCAUACAGAGAAGAUAAAAUGGCCCCUGAACAAGGGUGACACACAAAUUUGUGAAGCGUAAAGAAAAGUG